AUUCUAACUUGGCGCCGGGUUCAGGGUGAUCAAGAAUGCUCUGACCCCGAGUGGAGGCUCACCAUUGCACCUCGGUGGGUUGAAACUCACGACGGACCAUAAUCGGGUGCGCUCGGGCGUGUAGUUUUUGUCAGUGGGGAGGCCUCACGGUCCUCCUAU
rfam:Trichobilharzia regenti genome assembly, scaffold: TRE_contig0030035